AAGGAUUUAAGUUAAAUAAACUAAUAACCUUCAAAGUUAUAAAUAAGAUAAAAACUUAAGCCUUG
rnacentral:tRNA from 1 species